rnacentral:SRP_RNA from 1 species
CUGUGCUAUGUGGGGAGUUAGCGGUGCCCUGAACUUGCAAUCCGCUUUAGCAAGGCAGAAUAUCUUUCCCGGGAAUUCAAGGGUGAACAGAGGGCACAGAUUUUGUGUUGAAGUUAGGGUCUCGUGCAAUGAAAGGCUGUGAACCAUGUCAGGUUCGGAAGGAAGCAGCAUUAAGCAGUUUUUUUCAUGUGCCAUGAGGGUGCUUUAAUGGAGCAGAAUCUGCGUUAGGUCAUUCAUGUUUGGUUCUCAAAAAAGAGUGCACAG